rnacentral:rRNA from 1 species
UACGUAGGGGCCGAGCGUUGUCCGGAGUUACUGGGCGUAAAGCGCGCGCAGGCGGCUCGUCAAGCCUGACGUGAAAGCCCCCGGCUCAACCGGGGAGGGUCGUCGGGGACCGCACGCUUGAGGGCGGUAGGGGCUGGUGGAAUGCCUGGUGUAGUGGUGAAAUGCGUAGAGAUCAGGCGGAACACCCGUGGCGAAGGCGGUUCUCUGGGCCUGUACUGACGCUGAGGAACGAAAGCGUGGGGAGCGAACAGG